GCCACGGUGGUCCAGCGGUUAGAACGCUGGCCUUGUAAUCCUGGGGUCUCGGGUUCGAUUCCCGGCGGUGCCC
rfam:Zootermopsis nevadensis contig9579, whole genome shotgun sequence.